UACGUAGGGGGCAAGCGUUGUCCGGAAUCAUUGGGCGUAAAGCGCGCGUAGGCGGCCCGGUAAGUCCGCUCUGAAAGUCCAAGGCUCAACCUUGGGAUGCGGGUGGAUACUGCCGGGCUAGAGUCCGGAAGAGGCGAGUGGAGUUCCUGGUGUAGCGGUGGAAUGCGCAGAUAUCAGGAGGAACACCGAUAGCGAAGGCAGCUCGCUGGGACGGUACUGACGCUAAGGCGCGAAAGCGUGGGGAGCGAACAGG
rnacentral:rRNA from 1 species